UCUCUGAUGGUCCAGUGGUUAGAACUCUGCACUUUGACUGCUGAGGGCCGGGGUUCAAUCCCCAGUCAGGGAA